UUUGAUCUUUUUUUCUCACAUCACUUCAAAAUGUUGCUUUCAUUUGUAUCAUAUGACAUGAUCAAUCCAGGCAGAAGUCACAACAUACUAAUUAGCAAUAGACUAUUAUCAAUCAUCUAGAUUAGAGCUUUAUACGGAUUUAUUUGAAAAAAGUGAUGAUUAUAGUAGGCUGCAACUUAUAGCAUGUUGGAACUUGUGCCUGGAAUUGUUGCAUGGCGAAACAAAGGAUAGUAAGAUUAUUAUAUCACCUGUAUUACAAAUAAAUAAGGAAUAUCACUUUCUCUGUGCAUUCUCUCAAACCAACCCUAGAACAGUAUUAAGAGUAAACGUUGCCUAAAGAAUGUCCCUUUCCUCUAGUUCUUGAGUUCAGCAACAGAGCAUCUGUAAACAAGGAGCAAAAACAAGAAUAUUCCAUGAACUYACCUACUAAAAYACAUCUACAGUCUUACUACAUGGCUUAGCACUUUGUUUGACCACUUUCUUAGUUGUCUAGGAUGAUUUCCAGUUUGUGUGCCUCUUAAAUUUGAAGUUUUUUCCAGAGAUGUUUUCCUGCUUUCAGUAGCUGGUGCUUGCUUGUGUCAUUUAGUGUCUGCAAAGAGGUGUAUUCCAGCUGAUGGCUGUUGGGUCAACUGAAAUUGAUGUGGCCUAUCAAAGGGUAAGAUCUCAAUGAAGCCAUGUUAAUGGAAGGAGAUUUGAAAAGUUUGCUAGUAGGUCAUCUCAAGUUUAGGACAGGUGAUUUGCCAUGGUAGUUCUUGAUGUACUCAAAAAUGAAGAUGGGGCAUGCUUAGUAUACUUGGUCUCAAUAGUAGUCAACUAGUCACACUUAAACAGUCUCUUCACAUAACAAAAAAUUAAACGACGUCAAUGACAUCAGCAUUACUGAUUAUCAUUAUUCAAAUUUUGUGGAGCUAAUCAUAGUAAAAGUCAUUGGUAAGUAUUAGAAUAUCAGGGGUGGUGAAUCAUUAUUACUAAUAGGUUGCCGCAACAAUAUGUUAUUUAGUCAAAGAGAACAACAUAUGCACAUAGUUUGUUUUGAAAUAUUGUCUWAUUUUAAUAUUCUAAACAAAAAGGCUAUGUUACAAUGUUCAAAGGGAAAAAUAAAGCAUAAUAUUCUAAUGACUGAAUGUCCAGUUCAGAGUGUCCUAACCUUAAGACYAUCUUCACCAUUGUCUCUAAUGACAUGAUUUUUGUAGACGAUUCACCACCCCUAUAUUACRUUUAGUAUUUUAAUGGUUUGUUUGUUUGAUAUUGUUGUACAUUCCAAGCAUGUUUCAGAUUUUGCAGCUACAGUGAAAUGCGAUGGUAAAUGGUACUGAUGCACAAAUAGCKYAAACACACAWUGUGGUAUACUCUGAWUAUAGAUUACAAGCUUGCCUUAAUGUUAUGGCCGCACUUAUGGAUUACWGUAUUAAUAGAACAGUGAAUUGUUGAAAAUAUGGAUGAUUGCAUGAUAAUCAAACAAAUUGAGGAAGGGAAAUAUUUUACUUCAAAUGAAGUGGUUCAGUUGGAAAAGCAAUCUAAGAAAAGCAAUCUAAGAAUAAUUAAGUCUAUUGCUUUGUGCAUAAUUAUCAGAUUUUGUGAUCAAAGCUCAUGUAAAGUGAACGUAUAAUGUAUUGUUGCCUUGGGCAAAACAAAUAACAGAUAGCAAAGCAUUAGGCUGAGGCAAGCUUUAAUGUUAGCUCAUUAUAUACCAUGGAAUGGCAUUUUAACUGUUCUGUGUUGUAAGUAUUUUGUUUUGACAGGAUUCAAGAGAAAGGAAGAGAAAGUGACCAUUAACCAUCAUAACCAUCCAACCACUGAGUAUGUGCGGCAUACCAAUUGUAUAAGAACCCUUUGGAUAACCCUGUCAUGUUAAAAAAYAGUCUAUGMCACUUAAAUACUSAGAUUGUUUGUACUUGGUUUUGGACUCURAGAUAAUAAGGUCACRGAUCAUCAUGUUCACGAAUGUAUUGCCAUAAAGUUACAGUGCUUCGAUSUGAAAAAGUCUUUACCUUUUAUGGUAAAUCAAAGAAUUCCUCAAUUUAAUARASAUGAUUCUUCACARAACACACCACCAAUAAACAGGGUUCCUUSGUAAUGCUGCACAUGCCUGAUMCCAAUGUUCCUUGAAAUGAUAAUAAAUGACAAAAAUAACUCCACAACUUGCACACACAAACCAAACAUUGUCUUUCAUUUAUUCUGCUGUAAGUUAGAAAAACCCAGUUACAACUGACACAAGAUUAAGGUAAAGUUCAAAAUUAAAUCCAAACAAGCAAAAAAUUAAACAGUUGGAGUGCCAUACGAAAUAAUGCARCCAUACAUAUAGGCAGCCACGAACAUUCCUUAUUUUUUCUAAACGUACAAGAAUAGUGAUUUUAUAAAAGAAACAUUUUGUGUCCAACUGAGAGACAAUUUUAAGCACACUGGAACGGCAUGCACUCCAGAGGUCUACUAUCAGCCAGCAAGAUUCCUUUUCAAUGAUUGUAAGUCAGUUGCAGGGGCGGAUCUAGGAUUUUCCUCAGGGAGAGGUGCAGGGCUCUUGGGAGGAGGUGCAUCCCCAAAAAAUCAUUAAAUGAUCUUAUACAGAUCUCAAGAGGGGGUGYGCACCCCSUGCACCCACCAGCUGGAUCCGCUCCUGAGUUGUAACUGGGUUUUUGUGUAUUAUGACCAUACUGAGAAAGGUGGUACAUGCACAGUCAACUUCUGGUUAUCUGUUUCCA